rnacentral:rRNA from 1 species
AUCUCAAAUCAGGUAGGACUACCCGCUGAACUUAAGCAUAUCAAAUAAGCGGAGGAAA